GAGCGGCCCCUGCUGACCACACGGGCAGAGUACACGGGAAGCGCGGUGUUGGGUGUGGACAGUGAUCUGAGCCUGUCCACGGCUUUGGUUGGAAAGAUUGAAUUCUGCUGGCAUCCAUGCAAGCUGGAAUACAGGAAGGAAAGGGGAAAGCCGUGGUCUCUUCACUCCGUUGGUGACGAGGUAUUAGCUUCUGCGAUGUGCCAGCACCAGAGGCUCUGCCUCCUACGGUCUUGUUUGAAGACACAGCAGAUGACUUCUUGGCACAAACAGAGGUCUCUGACUGGGGAGGUAUCAAAGAUGCCAGAAGGCGAACCAGCGACAGACAGCAGGUGACAUACAAGGACCCUCAAAGAGGUCUCGGCUCAGAUGGGAUGCCCUCCUUCCAGGCUGAACUAAACCUCUUCCUCCUGUGGGAAACAGCCCCAGAGACGUGAGGAAGCUCCACCCCAGAUCACACGGCAAGGCAGCAGGUGUUGAGGCCGGAGCCUGCACCCGUGCCGCGUUUUGGGGGGUGCUUUGGGGGAUAAAGCACUCUGGCCCCUAUCAUGGCAAUACUCCGUAAUCCUGGAGUCCCCAAGAAAACAGAUGAAACCCAGCUUCUGGCUGGCCGGAUGGGCCGCGGCGCUGUCCGAGGUUCUGAACGGCAUCUCCGCACCCCGCCCUCCGCCUGCCAGAGCCUCGGCAGUCACCGGUCACCGGGACUUAAUUCGCAAGUGCCCAGCUCUGCGGCUCCCCCCGCGCAGCUCCCUGCAGCUGUGCUCACCUGGGCCAUGGAUUCCACUGCAACGAACUCCAGGGAACUUUGAAAAUUAUUUUUUUCCACUGGAAUGUGUGUGUGCUAUAGUUUCAUUGUUCUUAAUGACAUGAGAGAUGUAUGGGUAACCGGCUGAAAGUUGGGGUGCUGCUGUACUCUGUGCCUAGCUCUGGUCUCCAUGGGGGAUAUAAGUAAAAACAGCACAAGGCCUGGGUCCACCCCAUGGAGCACAGUCUAGGGGGAGAGACCUCCCGUGCGGUUGCCGGACUGGGCGUGUG
rnacentral:lncRNA from 1 species